AGAAAGUAAAAAUGCUGAAGAAGCCCAAGUUUGAAUUGGGAAAACUCAUGGAGCUACAUGGUGAAGGUAGUAGUUCUGGGAAAGCUACUGGGGACGAGACAGGUGCUAAAGUUGAACGAGCUGAUGGAUAUGAGCCACCAGUCCAGGAAUCUGUUUAAAAAUCAGAUUUUUAAUGGUGACAAAUAAAAGACUUCAUUUGUGAUA